rnacentral:lncRNA from 1 species
AGUGGGUGAUACAGAGUCACAGUAGCGCCAAUAUUUCUCGUCCGCCUAAAUUAUUGUUCUAUCCACCAUCGCAGCAUCGGUAUUUCAGUUACAUAGGCAUGUCCACGACAAUCACUAGUGUUAACAAGGGAAGCGAACUGAACUCUUCCGGAAGAUGUGCAAAAAAACCGAACAGCACGUAAGAUAUUCCAGGCUCCUCGGUGCCCAAAACAAGGCUGAAAACACAAAUACGCUUGUCCAGCAGGUACUCGUCGUGAAAGAAAAGAGCAGAAGGGAUGCCACGUCGACUGCAGGACACUUGGUGGCAGGUCUCUACUAGGGCGAGGAGAAGCUGAACUGGAUUCCCGUCUUCCCGCUGUCGUGCUGAGACUGCUUCAGAAUGUAGCAGUAGUUCAC